rfam:Mustela putorius furo unplaced genomic scaffold scaffold00136, whole genome shotgun sequence.
UCAAAGGCUUUUCUUAAAGCCAUUCCUCACAGUGCUCAAUAAUUAUU